GCCAUUCUAUGCUCGCGCAGCAGGUAUACUGACAGCAGCAGGAGCGAAACGCCGGCGUUGCACAGCGGUGUCACAGAGCCACCGCGCUGCGAUCACUUCGGCGACACAAUCCAAAUUUGUCGGACAUCUCAUUCUGUGCUGGAAACACUGGGAGGCAGGAAGUUUGAAAAAACGGCCACUGCCGCCCGCAAUGUCUCGGUCGUGGGCUGGUCGUGGGUUCGUUAUGCUAGUUGUGCGUCAUUCUAAGCCGUUCUGUACAUUUAUACUGGAUAUUAAUUGGAGUCAUUUAGCUGUGCUGAUGCUGUUUGCCGUGUGUUUUGCAUCAGUGCUUCGUGACAUCGGCUGUAUUGUGUUUUUUCGCCGACGGCUUACUACCACAAUGGCGGGAUCUGCGUUCGCCGCCUUCGUGUCUCGGUGCGUCUUUGUACGGCGCACGUUCGGAUAACACUUUUUCCGACAGCUGGACAUCCUUCUUGUACCUUGGCGCUAGCUGGAUGACGGACAUCAUGAUCAGUGUAUUGCUUGCCUAUGUCUACAAGAACCAUCACGCGUGGCCUGUGACAGCAAGCUUUUGUGGGCAGCAAGUGCUCUCCUACGAAGGCUGGCCUACUCUGGCAGCGGCGGCAAUCAUCUUCAAGAUUUAUCCAUAAUCACCUUUGCUGCUUUUUGUCACUCUUGUUGAUUACACUUUCUGCGUCUUUUCUAAUUUAUUAGGUAAUAAAGUAUGAGUAUGUGA